AGAGUAAAAAGACAAUUAAUCUUUAUCUACCCAAGUCCCUCAUGGCAUAGGAACUCAGAUUCUCUUUACCAAACCCUCUCUCGAUCACAUCUACCUAUCAUUUGCUCCCCAUUUCCAAUUACCUCUCACCGAUCUCAGGCAAGGAAGCCUCAUCUGACCUCUAAUUGCCAACGAGAUGCCUUCCUCUUCCUUCCCGGUACUUAGGAAAUUGCGAAUGCAAGUUUUGUCGAUUCACUAUCGUCGUAGCAACAAUCAUUAAAUUCCGAUGAAGCUAAGCUUUUUCAGUGAAGGCUAUCGAUUAGGAUUGAUAGUUCUAGGUUGGUUCCAUCUCCAUGGUGGCUGACACUGCGAUUCGAUGAAGUUCCAGUGGGUCAGAGAAGUCAGUAACCUCCUUCUCUCCUGAUUUUUACACAUUUCCUCUUGUAAUUAAAGCUUGUCGAACUCUACUGGAUUGUAAGAAGGUACAUUUCUCAAUUCUAAAGAAGGGCUUUGAGUGGGAUGUUUUUGUAGCUUCCUCCUUAAUACAUAUGUAUUCACAUUCUGGGUUGGUAGGUGCUGCUCAAGAAUUGUUUGAUGAAAUGUCAAUUCAAGAUAGUGGUUCAUGGAAUGCAAUGAUUUCUAGGUAUUCUCAGAAUGGGAAUGUUGUAGAGGCAUUAGAUGUUGCAGGUAAGAUGAGAUUGGAAGAGGUAGCUAUGGAUCCUGAUACAGUUGCCAGUAUUCUUCCUAUUUGUGCACAAUUAAGUGACAUUAUAAGUGGGAAGUUGAUCCAUUUGUUGGUUAUAAAAUGUCGAUUAGAACGUAAGUUGUUUGUGUCUAAUGCAUUGAUUAAUAUUGUCGUAGCCCAUUACCUUAGGUCGGAUCGGUACUAGGACUUGGGUAGACUUAAAGCCACUGAAGCCCGUAGUAAGCCAAAAAUAUACCAAAUAAAAUUAUAUGUUUAACCGAAUGGCCUUAGGCCAAUAUUAUUAAUAGACAGAUAUCAUAAGUCUUCGGCUUGCUUGGCCCGUA